CUGACACUAUUCUUUGAAUUCCACUACUAUUUUCACCUUCAACAUCUAGUACUAGUACAACCUAUCUCUCUUUUUAUUGAAGAACAAUACACCCAUCUCUCUCUUCUCUAAGAAACUACCAAUAGGCAAACCUAGCGAUGCCCUCACUCUCUUAUUCUAGAAAGACUUCCUCGUGACUACUGCUCGUCUCUCUCACUCCAGAUAGACUUAUUUUGUUCUGUUGUGACCACUGCUCCGCUCACUUCCUCUUCUUUCCAUGAUUGAAGUGAUUGACAGAGAUGCUUAGGUUCCUUAAGGGUUCCUUCCAUUUGACAGAGGGUUAGGUUCCCUGAGGCUUCCUUCCAUUUGAUAGAGGGUAAGUUCCUGCGGCUUCGUUCCCGUAAUGCUUGAGAAAGAAGCUAUUAAUAGAGGGUUAGGGCUACUACAGGUAAAGAAGAAAAUGGUUAGAGAGAUAAUGAGAUAGAGAGAGAGUAUGGAGUGCCAUAGAGGCGUAAGGGUAAA
rnacentral:lncRNA from 1 species